AGUGAACGCUGGCGGCGUGCCUAAUACAUGCAAGUCGAACGAAGUGGCGCACGGGUGAGUAAUAUAUAGUUUAUCUGCCCUACACAGAGGCACAAGCGUUUGCAACAUAUGCUAAUACCUCAUAGUGUAGGAUGAGACUAUAUCGUAUCAGCUAGUUGGUAAGGUAAUGGCUUACCAAGGCUAUGACGCGUAACUGGUCUGAGAGGAUGAUCAGUCACAUUUGAACUGAGACACGGUCCGGACUCCUACGGUAGGCAGCAGUAAGGAAUAUUGCGCAAUGGGGGAAACCCUGACGCCGCUACGCCGCGUAAAGGAUGACACUUUUCGGAGAAUAAACUCCUUUUAUCAGGAAAGCGGUACCUGAUGAAUAAGCACCGGCUAACUCCGUGCCAGCAGCCGCGGUAAUAC
rnacentral:rRNA from 1 species